rnacentral:tRNA from 1 species
GCGGUGGCCUAAUGGUUAGCGCACUGGACUCUGGAUCGAGCGGUCUGGGUUCGCGCCCUGGCCUGGGUA